UCUCCCUACCCGCUCCCAUCCCAUUCCGGCACCGUCCUGCCUCGAACCGACCUUGGGAAAAGGCCAGACUGACCUUGGGGGUCGUCUCACAAUAACAAUUACUAGGUGCCAUUACUGUCCACAGGCUUCCCCUACAGUAGCUCUUUUAAUUCUCGCCUUAGUUCGGUCAUUAUUCCCAUUUUACAGAUUGAAAAAGGAAGGCACAGGUGUUGAAGCAAUUCCCCGGAGGUCACAGAGCUUUUCGGAUUGUUCUCUUCAGCACAACAGAGUUCUGGCCUGGAGGCACCCUGCCCCAGCCCUCAGGGGCCAGAGAGCAGUCUGGAAGAUGGCCACACCCUGGCAGAUCUGGCCACAGGCCCCGAGGCAGGGCCGCAGGCGGCUGGACCACACAUGCAGGGAGAGGCGUUCUUUGUGUGAGGAGACACAGACCCACUGAAGGAUUGCAUGAGCCCAAAGAAAUUUCAGAGACCUAAUGACUUGAGAGGGUCACCGAAGCAAAGAAAAGUUGCCAAAGAUCGGAGAAAGACGGAAGCAUGUGAUUCCUGAAUUAAGAAGUUCUUCAUGCCCCUAUUCCAGACCUCCUGCUUGCCUGGGCUCCCAUGCAAGCCCUCGUGCUCAAAGAUGGCUCCCUACAUGCCUUCGGCGAAGAGUGGCAUAGACCCAUUUCCACAAGUCAUGGCAUAGACCCAUUUCCCCCACACUGGCAACUGGCACCAGGGAACCUCAUCGUCUUAGCACCUUUUGCCUGGAUUUCUGCAAGGUCUAGGUCUCGUAUGGAAGUCAUGAGACAAGACCAUUGUACUCCUAGCGCUUAAGGUAGAGACAGACACGCAGCGGGUGCUCACGGCUUCUCAACUGCCUCCCUAUUGCCGAUGGCCAACCAGCGACGGCCCGACAGCAACGAUUUUACCACCGUUGGCCAAGUAUGAAUUGUGAACCAGCAUG